ACGCGCCUACGGGGGGCAGCAGUGAGGAAUAUUGGUCAAUGGGCGGAAGCCUGAACCAGCCACGUCGCGUGAGGGAAUAAGGCCCUACGGGUCGUAAACCUCUUUUGCCGGGGAGCAAGGGCGGGGACGUGUCCCGGCCCGGAGAGUACCCGGAGAAAAAGCAUCGGCUAACUCCGUGCCAGCAGCCGCGGUAAUACGUAGGGGGCAAGCGUUAUCCGGAUUCACUGGGCGUAAAGGGAGCGCAGGCGGCGCGGCAAGUCUGAUGUGAAAGCCCGGGGCCCAACCCCGGGUCUGCAUUGGAAACU
rnacentral:rRNA from 1 species